rnacentral:tRNA from 2 species
GGGCCCGUAGUCUAGCCAGGUAGGACGGUGGGCUCCAGACCCAUUGACCGGGGUUCGAAUCCCCGCGGGCCCA